rnacentral:rRNA from 1 species
GCUUGGGGGGCGUGCUAUACAUGCAGUCGAGCGGACAGAUGGGAGCUUGCUCCCUGAUGUUAGCGGCGGACGGGUGAGUAACACGUGGGUAACCUGCCUGUAAGACUGGGAUAACUCCGGGAAACCGGGGCUAAUACCGGAUGGUUGUUUGAACCGCAUGGUUCAGACAUAAAAGGUGGCUUCGGCUACCACUUACAGAUGGACCCGCGGCGCAUUAGCUAGUUGGUGAGGUAACGGCUCACCAAGGCGACGAUGCGUAGCCGACCUGAGAGGGUGAUCGGCCACACUGGGACUGAGACACGGCCCAGACUCCUACGGGAGGCAGCAGUAGGGAAUCUUCCGCAAUGGACGAAAGUCUGACGGAGCAACGCCGCGUGAGUGAUGAAGGUUUUCGGAUCGUAAAGCUCUGUUGUUAGGGAAGAACAAGUGCCGUUCAAAUAGGGCGGCACCUUGACGGUACCUAACCAGAAAGCCACGGCUAACUACGUGCCAGCAGCCGCGGUAAUACGUAGGUGGCAAGCGUUGUCCGGAAUUAUUGGGCGUAAAGGGCUCGCAGGCGGUUUCUUAAGUCUGAUGUGAAAGCCCCCGGCUCAACCGGGGAGGGUCAUUGGAAACUGGGGAACUUGAGUGCAGAAGAGGAGAGUGGAAUUCCACGUGUAGCGGUGAAAUGCGUAGAGAUGUGGAGGAACACCAGUGGCGAAGGCGACUCUCUGGUCUGUAACUGACGCUGAGGAGCGAAAGCGUGGGGAGCGAACAGGAUUAGAUACCCUGGUAGUCCACGCCGUAAACGAUGAGUGCUA